GGGCGAGGAACUGCCCGGGCGCGGUAGCGUACGGGAAGACCGGAGAGGAGCUGCGUCUCUGCCCCGUGGGAGCCGGCGGGGCGGCGGGGCGGCGGCUGCAGCUGCAGCUCCGGCGCGAGGGCUCCCUUGCCGGGCCCUCUUCCCCGACCCCUGGGGCGCUCCGACAAGGAAGAGCCGUCCAGCGCGCGUCCGUCCUGAGCGUGGGCCUAGAACCAAUUACAGAGUCAAACCCAAGAGCCGAAGAAAGUGAAGACUCGCAGCUUGCCGCAGCCCCCUCCUCGGCCUGCGCACCUCCCAUUGAGGGCGUCCUGAUUUAAACGCGUGCCUCCUGCAUUUCUGCUUCUGCCCCAGGCUAGAGCGGCGACCAGGAACGCUGGACCCACAGAGAUCUGUGGCAAUGUCUGUCGAACCAUGGUGUUCUUUGGGGCAUCUGACUAGAGUAUUGUUUGAUAACCAGAAAGAAAUCAAAAAUUGGUGAUCACAAGGCUAAUGUCACUUUUGCUGCAGUGGAAAAUCAUGAUCAUUCUGUUUAAAUCUGAGUCAGUUUUGAGACCUAGAGCCCAUUAAUUGACAAGGAGGCUUGGUUCCUCUCAGGAAGGAUCUUACAAUACCAGCAUCUGAGCAUAUACCAAGAAAUAUUCCUCCAAUCCUUCCCUAAAGGGACCUAGAGCCACUUUAAAAAGUAACUGGUCCGGGCGUGGUGGCUCACGCCUGUACUCCCAGCAUUUUGGGAGGCCGAGGCGGGCAGAUCACUUGAGGUCAGGAGUUUGAGACCACCCUGGCCAACAUAGCGAAACCCCGUCGCUACUAAAAAUACAAAAAUUAGCCGGGUUUGGUGGCUUGUGCCUGUAAUCCCAGCUACACGGGAGGCUGAGGCGUGACAAUCCCUUGAACCCAGGCCUUGUUGCCGCGAGCCACUGCACUCCAGCCUGAGCGACAG
rnacentral:lncRNA from 1 species